AAUACGAAGGGGGCUAGCGUUGCUCGGAAUUACUGGGCGUAAAGGGCGCGUAGGCGGCGCAUUUAGUCAGGCGUGAAAUUCCUGGGCUCAACCUGGGGACUGCGCUUGAUACGGGUGUGCUAGAGGGCAGGAGAGGCUCGCGGAAUUCCCAGUGUAGAGGUGAAAUUCGUAGAUAUUGGGAAGAACACCGGUGGCGAAGGCGGCGAGCUGGCCUGUUACUGACGCUGAGGCGCGACAGCGUGGGGAGCAAACAGGA
rnacentral:rRNA from 1 species